rnacentral:tRNA from 1 species
GCCGGCUUAGCUCAGCGGUAGAGCAGCGGUUUCGUAAACCGAAGGUCGGGGGUUCAAUCCCCUCAGCCGGCG